AUGGCAAGCGCCUACCUCUCAAGCUUCCGGCAGGCCGCCCCCACCGCCACCAGCGGCGGCGCCGGCGCGUCACCGAGGCCGAGGCCAAGAGCGGUGGCAUGCCACGCCUCCGAGCCGUCGGGCACGGGCAGGCGUUCAGCUUGCCUCCGCCUCGGCAUCGGCCUCGCCACCGCCGCCAUGCCUGUGCUCCACACCGCGCCCGCCCGCUCCACCGCUGACGCCGACGAGGACCCGGAGCCGGCCAACAACGGCUGGUGGCUCACCGAGUUCCCCUUGCCGGUGCCCAAGAUCCGCAACAAGGAGAUCAACAAUGGCGAGUCGGGGACGCGGUCCUUCGUGAAGAACGGCAUCUACAUGGCCGACAUCGGGCCGAGCUUUGCGGCGCACGCCUACCGGAUACGCAGCUCCGCCUUCGACCUGCUGGCGCUGGAGGACCUGCUCGGCAAGGAGGCCUCCAACUACGUCAACAAGUACCUCCGCCUCAAGGCCACCUUCAUCUACUACGACUUCGACAAGCUCAUCACCGCCGCCGACCCUGACGCCAAGCCGCCGCUCCUCGGCCUCGCCAACCGCCUCUUCGACAGCUUCGAGAGGCUGCAGGCCGCCGUCACCACCAAGGACGACGCCGACAUCGGGUCCUGCUACGCUGAUACCAAGCUCAUCCUGCAGGAAGUCAUGACAAGAAUGGCCUAG
rnacentral:rRNA from 1 species